GACGAACCGAGCGAACGUUGUUCGGAAUCACUGGGCUUAAAGGGCGCGUAGGCGGGCAUUCAAGUCUGUGGUGAAAUCCUCCGGCUCAACCGGAGAACUGCCUCGGAUACUGGGUGUCUCGAGGGUGGUAGGGGUAUGCGGAACUAUCGGUGGAGCGGUGAAAUGCGUUGAUAUCGAUAGGAACUCCGGUGGCGAAGGCGGCAUACUGGACCACUUCUGACGCUGAGGCGCGAAAGCCAGGGGAGCAAACGGG
rnacentral:rRNA from 1 species